AUUGAACGCUGGCGGCAGGCCUAACACAUGCAAGUCGAGCGGAUGAAGGGAGCUUGCUCCUGGAUUCAGCGGCGGACGGGUGAGUAAUGCCUAGGAAUCUGCCUGGUAGUGGGGGAUAACGUCCGGAAACGGGCGCUAAUACCGCAUACGUCCUGAGGGAGAAAGUGGGGGAUCUUCGGACCUCACGCUAUCAGAUGAGCCUAGGUCGGAUUAGCUAGUUGGUGGGGUAAAGGCCUACCAAGGCGACGAUCCGUAACUGGUCUGAGAGGAUGAUCAGUCACACUGGAACUGAGACACGGUCCAGACUCCUACGGGAGGCAGCGGAGGGGAAUAUUGGACAAGGGGCGAAGGCCUGAUCCAGCCAUGCCGCGGGUGUGAAGAAGGUCUUCGGAUUGUAAAGCACUUUAAGUUGGGAGGAAGUGCAGUAAGUUAAUACCUUGCUGUUUUGACGUUACCAACAGAAUAAGCACCGGCUAACUUCGUG
rnacentral:rRNA from 1 species